AUUGAACGCUGGCGGCAGGCCUAACACAUGCAAGUCGAGCGGAGCGGCGGACGGGCGAGUAAUGCCUAGGAAUCUGCCUGGUAGAGGGGGAUAACGUCCGGUAACGGGCGCUAAUACCGCAUACUAUCAGAUGAGCCUAGGUCGGAUUAGCUAGUUGGUGGGGUAAAGGCCUACCAAGGCGACGAUCCGUAACUGAUCUGAGAGGAUGAUCAGUCACACUGGAACUGAGACACGGUCCAGACUCCUACGGGAGGCAGCAGUGGGGAAUAUUGGGCAAUGGGCGAAAGCCUGAUCCAGCCAUGCCGCGUGUGUGAAGAAGGUCUUCGGAUUGUAAAGCUCUGUAAGUUGGGAAGCGUUACCUACAGAAUAAGCACCGGCUAACUACGUGCCAGCAGCCGCGGUAAUAC
rnacentral:rRNA from 1 species